rnacentral:rRNA from 1 species
GACGAACGCUGGCGGCGUGCUUAACACAUGCAAGUCGAACGGAAAGGCCCUGCUUUUGUGGGGUGCUCGAGUGGCGAACGGGUGAGUAACACGUGAGUAACCUGCCCUUGACUUUGGGAUAACUUCAGGAAACUGGGGCUAAUACCGGAUAGGAGCUGCUGCUGCAUGGUGGGGGUUGGAAAGUUUGGGCGGUUGGGGAUGGACUCGCGGCUUAUCAGCUUGUUGGUGGGGGAGUGGCAUACCAAGGCUUUCACGGGUCGCCGGCCUGAGAGGGUGACCGGCCACAUUGGGACUGAGAUACGGCCCAGACUCCUACGGGAGGCAGCAGUGGGGAAUAUUGCACAAUGGGCGGAAGCCUGAUGCAGCAACGCCGCGUGCGGGAUGACGGCCUUCGGGUUGUAAACCGCUUUCGCCUGUGACGAAGCGUGAGUGACGGUAAUGGGUAAAGAAGCACCGGCUAACUACGUG